GACGAACGCUGGCGGCGUGCUUAACACAUGCAAGUCGAACGGAAAGGCCCUGCUUUUGUGGGGUGCUCGAGGGGCGAACGGGUGAGUAACACGUGAGUAACCUGCCCUUGACUUUGGGAUAACUUCAGGAAACUGGGGCUAAUACCGGAUAGGAGCUCCUGCUGCAUGGUGGGGGUUGGAAAGUUUCGGCGGUUGGGGAUGGACUCGCGGCUUAUCAGCUUGUUGGUGGGGUAGUGGCUUACCAAGGCUUUGACCGGUAGCCGGCCUGAGAGGGUGACCGGCCACAUUGGGACUGAGAUACGGCCCAGACUCCUACGGGAGGCAGCAGUGGGGAAUAUUGCACAAUGGGCGGAAGCCUGAUGCAGCAACGCCGCGUGCGGGAUGACGGCCUUCGGGUUGUAAACCGCUUUCGCCUGUGACGAAGCGUGAGUGACGGUAAUGGGUAAAGAAGCACCGGCUAACUACGUG
rnacentral:rRNA from 1 species